UGAACAAAACCGACCACCGUUGUCUUCGUCGGAAAACGCUUACACGUCAGAGUCGCCGGCACCACCCUCAUUCAAGAGUCUUUUUCCUCCGAUGCCAAACAUUUCCAGCAACAUCAUCGCCGGUGUCAAGGGCGAAAACACCUUUCCUUCUCUUUUUCUCAUUUCCUUUUCAAUAUUGUUCAUUUGAAUGUUGUUCUGUUGAUGGAAGUUUCUUCCAUUGGGAUAUUUUGGGUUAAAUCUGAUGGGAUUUUGUUUUACAGGUCAUAGAGGACAUUGAGCAUGGAGUUCGAGAUGUCAAUCUAGAGGGAAGGCGCUGGGUGUAACGGCUGGGUGUAACGGUUGUUCAAAGGAUAGAGCUUAGAAUCUGGGUUUUGGUUUGUUCAAUCUGCUUGAUGGAGGCCUUGAAACAACCAUAUACAAGCAAACGAGCACAACCAUAUACAUGUAUUAUUCAUUCAUAUCUGAUUCAUUAAACAGAUGCCUUCACAUACGAUCAAGUUCAGA